rnacentral:tRNA from 1 species
GGGGAUGUGGCUCAAGCAGUAGUGUGCUUGCCUGGCAAGCACAGGGUGUUGAGUUCGAUCCUCAGCACCUCA